rnacentral:rRNA from 1 species
GGGGGAGUAGCGCGUGGGUAACCUGCCCUGGACACACGGAUAACAUACCGAAAGGUAUGCUAAUACGAGAUAAUAUGCGUUUAUCGCGUGGUAGAAGUAUCAAAGCUUUUGCGGUACAGGAUGGACCCGCGUCUGAUUAGCUAGUUGGUGAGGUAACGGCUCACCAAGGCGACGAUCAGUAGCCGACCUGAGAGGGUGAUCGGCCACAUUGGAACUGAGACACGGUCCAAACUCCUACGGGAGGCAGCAGUGGGGAAUAUUGCACAAUGGGCGAAAGCCUGAUGCAGCAACGCCGCGUGAGCGAUGAAGGCCUUCGGGUCGUAAAGCUCUGUCCUCAAGGAAGAUAAUGACGGUACUUGAGGAGGAAGCCCCGGCUAACUACGUGCCAGCAGCCGCGGUAAUACGUAGGGGGCUAGCGUUAUCCGGAAUUACUGGGCGUAAAGGGUGCGCAGGCGGCGCGCCAAGUCAGCGGUCAAAGUUCCGGGCUCAACCCGGUGUCCCCGUUGAAACUGGCGUGCUCAAGUGCGUGGGAGGGAAGGCGGAAUGCGUUGUGUUACCGUUGAAAUGCAUAGAUAUGACGCAGAACUCCGAUGGCGAAGGCAGCUUUCCAGCGCGCUACUGACGCUGAGGCACGAAAGCGUGGGGAUCGAACAGGAUUAGAUACCCUGGUAUUCCACGCCGUAAACGAUGAUGGCUAACCGCCGGCGACAGACUGUCGGUGGCCAAGCGAAAGCGAUAAGCCAUCCACCUGGGGAGUACGUCGGCAACGAUGAAACUCAAAGGAAUUGACGGGGGCCCGCACAAGCGGAGGAACAUGUGGUUUAAUUCGAUGAUACGCGAGGAACCUUACCCGGGCUCGAACGGCACCUGGAUCGCCCAGAGAUGGGCGAGUCUUCGGACAGGUGUCGAGGUGCUGCAUAGUUGUCGUCAGCUCGUGCCGUGAGGUGUCGGCUCAAGUGCCAUAACGAGCGCAACCCUUGCCGCCAGUUGCCAUCAGGUGAUGCUGGGCACUCUGGCGGGACUGCCACCGCAAGGUGUGAGGAGGGGGGGGAUGACGUCAAAUCAGCACGGCCCUUACGUCCGGGGCGACACACGUGUUACAAUGGCGGCCACAGAGGGAUGCUACCCCGCGAGGGGAUGCGGAUCUCGAAAAGCCGUCCCAGUUCGGACUGGAGUCUGCAACCCGACUCCACGAAGUUGGAUUCGCUAGUAAUCGCGCAUCAGCCAUGGCGCGGUGAAUACGUUCCCGGGCCUUGCACUCACCGCCCGUCA